CCUACGGGUGGCUGCAGUGGGGAAUAUUGCACAAUGGACGGAAGUCUGAUGCAGCAACGCCGCGUGCGGGAUGACGGCCUUCGGGUUGUAAACCGCUUUCAUCCAUGACGAAGCGAGAGUGACGGUAGUGGGAGAAGAAGCACCGGCUAACUACGUGCCAGCAGCCGCGGUGAUACGUAGGGUGCGAGCGUUGUCCGGAUUUAUUGGGCGUAAAGAGCUUGUAGGCGGUUUGUUGCGUCGGGAGUGAAAACUCAGGGCUUAACCCUGAGCCUGCUUUCGAUACGGGCAGACUUGAGGAAGGUAGGGGAGAAUGGAAUUCCUGGUGAAGCGGUGGAAUGCGUAGAUAUCAGGAGGAACACCAGUGGCGAAGGCGGUUCUCUGGACCUUUCCUGACGCUGAGAAGCGAAAGCGUGGGGAGCAAACAGGCUUAGAUACCCCAGUAGUC
rnacentral:rRNA from 1 species